AGGAUUGCGCAACACCUAGAUGGCUCUGCUGGCUCUUUUACCUGUUUCAGUUCGUCCUCCUCAUCCUUGAUUUUUUAUGGAAGGACGACGGCCUUUGCAUUUCGCGAUUCUUGGAGGAGAAAAAAUGUCUACCUCGACCCGCAACGAAGCAGAAAAAGCAGUUCAAGCUCAGGUUCCAACUUGGAACCACUGGAUAACCUUUUGAAGAUAACUGGUGAACUCUACUCCCUCGCAAGAGAAUGCUUUUUAUAAUUGAAGAAGCAUCUACAUUAACUAUGUAACGUUUCUUGCCGACCCACCUGUCUCUGCCUCUUCCGUCGUCGUCUUUGAAGCCAACGUCAACACUUCUAUGGAGUCAAUGGUUGAACCUUUCCUGCCCAGCAGUUGCUAAUUGUUAAGGAGGACAGUGGUUUAGUGGAAGACACUGAUUCAAUUUCUUGUUCUUUCACGCAGCUGAUUUAGAAUCCAUAGGUUUUCAAAAAUUUCCAUGAGUGAAGGUCUUUCCACCACAAGCAAUAGUUGUCUAUUUAUGAUUAGCGAUUGGGAACAGGACUUCAGCCAUCGGAGUUGUAUCUAUGC